UUAAAGCCGGCGACUGACUUGCAACGGAACGCUGUAAUGUAACUGCUCGGCACGAAUUGUACGGUUCGACACCAACGUUACAUUACAAGGUCCUUUUUGGAUUCACGAAUGCUCGCUUCGAACUCUCGGCUGAAUUCUCCCUCGAUGCUUCCUACUCAGUUCGGUGAAAAGUAGACGAUCAAAGAGGUUCGUGAAAAAACCGACAGACCAAGCGGAGCACGAUCGAGCUCAAGAACGGCUCGGUUCGUCGCUCGUUAGUCCGUCAAACUAAGCGAAUGCUCGCGUUACAUUAAAAUGUUCCGUUGCAAGUCAGUCGUCGGUUUUAGAGUGGCAACGUGGCAGCGAGGGCCUAUCGCGAACAGUCUUCGAUUUGUCGCAAAUGGAUAAUCGACGGCAAAAGGAUAAACGCCACGUUAACGAGAAUACUCCGAUACGUAAGAUUGAUCGAGUGGAUGUUGGCGAGCAAACAAAAUAACGCGUCCUAUCGUCCGAUCGAAAGUGACAAAUUUGCGGUAACGUGUAAUCUUCUGGAUCGUUAACAUCAUGAUUAUACGUUUCCAUACGUGAUUACAUUUUACGCCGCGUACACGUUUGGCCAUUUCAAAAAGGCCUGACCGAAACAAUAUUCGCUAUACGAAUAUCCACGCUACAUAAUAUUUAAUAAAAUAUCACAACUAGAACCAUCGAUACAAUUUACGGUAUACUUUUUUCUUUUUUAGUCAAUUUGUUUUCCCGCGUAUAUAUACACGUAUAUAUAGUAAUAGCAUCUACUAUGUGUUAAUUAGAUACUCCCCGUUGCAGCGACGCGCUUACUUCUAAGCCGUACAGCAAAAAUGUGUGUUAAAAGUAACGAUGACUGCGUUGAACAUGACUCUUGAGCUUGUACUGACUGACGAUCUACAUCUAAGAGAGAAACUACUAUUAUUAUAACAUAGGACCAUGCGCGAGUAGCGUAUACACCACACUUUGUAAACCCAAAAGCUGUUAUUAGUAAUACAUCGACCACAAUAUUUUCUACUCAUUAGACAGUAAUCGAUAUUUGACUUCAAACGCUAGUACUUAGAAUGAAAUCUACAGAGAAUACUUUGUAUGCCCCACAGCACGCUAUUAACAACGGUGAAUGUAAUAAUAAAAUAAUCUAAUCUGUGGUUAAUCCGAACUACGGUGCGAUAAUUACAGUUCUUAAUGCUAAUGUUUUACAAAAUUCUUGCAUCGUCAGUCAAAACUUGCUCUUUGGAUGAAAGAAACGAAAACCUGACUGAGAAAACUUCCACCUACAACUAGUGACACGUAUAUAUCUAAAUAUACGUCCGAAUAUGUACACAGAGGCGAAAAUGAAGCAUAAGAAAUGACUAUAUUCGUACGACUGUCGCGUGUACACCGUGUAAUGUGUGUGUUUGUCCAAUGUAUCGAUUCGCAAAGGAAUAAAACAAAACUGUUUCUAUACAUACACACGCGCGAGUACGCGCGCAUACACACAUACAUAUGUGCGCGUACACACGCACGUAUAUUAUCACUAACAAUGGUCUUCUUUACGGUAGUAAAAGUGUGUGAAAUCUAAGGAUAUGACUUUAUCUCGCGAUAUGCGAGAAGAGAAGGUAGGUUUUCUUCUAUGCUAUACAACCUCCUACGCUCUAUGGAAGCAUACAUUACAUACAUACAUAUAUAUAUACACACAUACACACGUAAGUGCGCAAAACUGCUGGUAUGUUAAUUAAUUCACGUUGAUUCUAUUUUUCUUUUUUUUUCUGUACUGCAACUCUUUCAUGACGCACCGAAAAAGAGGCGCGCACCCUUCUUUCGUCGUCGCCUUUUACUCUCCCUCGAUAGCAGUAAAUAUGUAAAUGUUAAAUAUAAUUAAUCGUAAGUAUGAUUAAACAGGCACAUCGACUUGGUUACAUAUAAUUUUUCUAUUUUAUUUUGUGUGUGUACGUGUGUGUCGAAAGAAAAAUAUCGGAAAAGCCAAUUGGUAUUGGUAGACGCGCUGCACAAAUUUGAUAAUAUGGAAACAAAUAAUUACUGUUAGAAAAUUUGUCACGUAACAGUUAUUUCCUAAUAGCGAUAUCAACGUCUAUAUCCUAUCGAUCGAAAGUAGCAAAUUAAUAGCGUCAUCGUUUAGUAUUUAUUCAAAUGUUGUAAAUUUCUUUUAGUCUUGCGAUAUUGUGGUAAAGUAUUUAAAAUUUCACUUAGUAACUUUCUCUCCCUCUCUCUCUUUCUCUACGUAGCAUUCUUUUUAUCCCUUCUAUCUCUAGAACUCCCUUUCAUUCAGUCACACUCGCGCUCUACAUGUAAAAUACUUCUAAUUAAACUCUGGACAUGGAUCACUCUAUUUAAUCAACGUACCACAGUUAAUAUCUCGUACAAGUUAUCAUACAGCUAUGUAUACAAAAUAAUUAGCAAAACAAUGCCUAAGCGUCAUUCCAUUAAAAAACACGAGAUACGCGUCGACACGCGAAAAAAUCUUUAUCCUUUCCUUUUUUAUCUUUUUAAGCGUUACGAGUAAACGAAUGGUAUGCGCGACCUAACAUUUUACAGCUGCAAAAACAUCGAAAUCUAGGAAGAGAGCCAUUCGCAAUAAGUAUGUACAAUUCGAUAAUUUGGAUAUUCACGUGUAUACGUGAUGUAGCUCGUUCGACGUUAUGAAUACACUUUAUAAAUAGACAUUUAAACAUCGCUUUUGUUUAUAAUGUCGUGAAAAAGUGCAAGAAGGAAGAACAUGAUUCGACGAGGGGAACAGACAAGAAGAAAUCACUAAAAACAUGCACUCAUCGACGCGUUCGUCACGUCAGAGUGUAUAGAAUGUAUAACGAAGAAAGUGUAUUUAAUUUUGUGUGUGUGUGUGUGUAUGUGUGUUUGUGUAUUAUUCGAUAUUGUAAUACAUGCAAUGAAGACUUCUUUUCGAUAGAAACUGUAUUUGAAAAUAUGUUUUACGAAUCAAUUCUAAUCCCUCCUGAAAUUCAGUUUAGCACUUCAAUGAGUCCUAAUUGGCCAUGUUUGGAUCGCACUGAUAAAUUGUAUACCACGGAUUUGUGCAAUGUACCCUACGUGUACAUUUUUAAAGCUACAAUCCUCGGUGAAAUGCAAAACGUUGAAAUACGAUAUAGAAAAAAGAAUCGAACGUUAAUGCAAACAUGCACGAUUCCGAUGCGAAUUUCAUUCUUGAACAAUCCUAUCACGUAAUUUCACCUAGAACGUGAUAUCUACAAAAAUAGGUGAAAUUGCGAACUGCUGGCAAUCUUAAAAUCAGCGAUACCUAAUUGCAAUAGUAAUAAUAACCAUUAGUAGUUACGGCGACGGGAUGAUAUGAUUCAUUAUGAGAUUAAAAUAAAUAGUGAGGCUGCUGCGAGGAGACACAGCUUUUGUCAAAUACAAAUUACCGUGCACAAUCAAUCUCUCACCAUUUGAAUCGAAACGUAAGAGGUAUUCGAUUCUAAACUUAACUGCACGCAUUAUUUCCGUAUAUUAACGGUAUCGUCUCAAGAUUGUUUAGUUAUUACGACACAUAAACAUACUUGAGACCGUUUGAAAUAAACCUAGAACGAUAAAACUCGAAACACAUUUUUACAAUUAAUCGAUAUACCGCGUAUAGAUGCGUGUGUAUAUACGUACGUAUGUCCGCGUACAAUUGAAAAGUGUCCACGUUUUGAAAAGAGAACGUUUGAAACGUUCAAGCCUGUCGUUGCGCUCGACAACAAAAACCUUCUAGCCAGGUCGAAAUUUAACCAGGCGAAAGCAAUAAAAUAUCACCGCCGCCGAAUGACCGUAAAUUCUACCGAAUCAAAGAUAACUUUGUCACCGAGCAUUAAAAACAAUUGUGUAUGAUACGUGUUUGACGUAUCAUCGUAAAAGAAAUGCAUUUAUAUGCCCCAUUUCAACGCGGUGGUUCAAUAAAUUACGUUUGCCGUUUUACGGUAAAGUAAUACAGUUUUACCGAAUCACCAACGUCGCCGGUUUUAUCUGCUUAAAUUGCGCAUUAAUUCCCUUGGUUUUUGCGAAUUCGAGCGAAAUCGCCUAAUUAAUCAUCUUUUCGUAACGUCCUAGUAAAAUUUUCUUUGGCGCGAUAACUACAUUCGCCCUCCCAAAAGUCAGGAAACGUUGAGUACGAAAUACACGUGUACAGUAUUUUCUGAAAAGUUGUCGGACGUCUUGAACGAGUAGAUGAAAUUUUCUCGCUGUUAAAUAAAAAUCGUGACAACACCUC